rnacentral:misc_RNA from 1 species
UUGAAAUCCAUCAUCAAGCGCGCACUUAAUCUUCAAAGAUGUCGUUGUUUUCCAAUCCUACACAAGCAUUCGGCACUAAUCCCGCUACAACUGCUACCACGGGGUUUUCAUUUGGUGGAGCGGUGACGACAUCGGCGCCAGCAUUUGGUGGUUUCGGCAGUACUGCUACAACAGCAGCACCCACGGGCUUUUCAGGUUUCGGGACAGGAACACAGGCAACCUUAGGGCAAACCACAGGGUUUUCCGGGGGCGCUGCACCGGCAACGACUACAGCAGCGACAGGUUUCAGUGGUUUCGGGACUAACCCCGGCACAUCCACCACAGGUUUCUCAGGAUUUGGGGGAACGGCGCCAACAACAACUACUGCCUCUGGAUUUACAGGAUUCGGUGGAUUUGGAACCACAUCAGGCUUUGGUGCUGGAACAGGAACCACAACAGGCUUCGGUGCUGGAACAGGAACCACGACAGGCUUUGGAGCAGCUCCAGGAACAACAGGGACCUCCACAGGAUUUGGGGGGUUUGGCACCACCGGAUUUGGUGGUGCCACAACUGGACAAACUGGCUUUGGAGCAGGAUUGUUUGCAGGAGGCCAGCAACCUCAGCAGCAGCAACUGCAACAACAACAUGGUGCAUCUGACCUCACCAACAUGGCCAUGGCGGUGUCUUUGCCGCAGAUCUAUGGUGAUGAGAGAGACGCCAUUAUUGCUAAAUGGAACCAGCUACAGGCCUGCUGGGGAACCGGGAAGGGAUACUACAGUCAAAAUGGCAUGGUGGAGUUCAAGGCAGAUAAUCCCUUCUGUAGAUUCAAGGCGAUAGGUUACCAUGUGAUACCAAGUGGGAGGAAUGAGGAUGGGUUGGUGGCGCUCAUGUUGAAAAAGAAGCAGACGGAGGUGACAGCGGCUCAGCAAGGAAUUGUUGACACUCUGCACAAGAUGCUAGGCAGUAAACCCACUCUCUCCGUUUGUGUGGAGGGCAUCAGACCACUCCCAGAGGACAGGACAGAGUUGGUGAUCUAUGUACUGGAACGUCCACCCACAGGACCUGCUAGACGGGUGGGAGCAUCUGACCUGUUCACAUUUAUGACCCUGCCAGGGUCCAAGAACACACUGGUCACCCAGCUGACCGUUGAGAACAUUGUGCCGAAGAUGGGCUGGUCCAGUGAACAGCUGAAGGAGUAUCUAGAUAAACCUCCAGCUGGUAUUGACCCAGUACUGUGGCAGCAGGCCAAGCUGGACAACCCAGAUCCAACCAGACUCAUCCCCGUCCCCAUGAUCGGCUUCAAGGAGGUCCAGCGGCGACUACAACACCAGCAGGAGCAGACACGACUACAUCAACAACGUCUCGAUGUGAUGUCUGGUGAUUUGACAGACCUUCAGAACAAACACAGCAACAUGCUGGCUCGGCAGGAGGAGUACAAGAGGAAACACCUGGAGCUGGGGCACCGACUGUUACAGGUGAUUGUAAAGCAGGAGAUCUACCGGAAGAUGGGGUAUGCCAUCCAGGCUGAAGAAGAGCAUCUCAAGGUACAGCUGGAGGUCCUGCAGACUGAGCUCAACCACCCCACACAGUUUAAGGGUCGACUCAAUGAACUGAUGUCACAAAUCCGGAUGCAGAAUCACGUGUCAUCUCAGCGACAGGAAGCAUCCUUUCAGAUGGACACAGAACUACAGUCAGAGAUCAAGCAGCUGUUGAAGCAACAACAAGAUGGCCUCAAUCAUCUGAUCCAAAUCUUGAAAGAUGAUGCCUCAGACCUUCACCUUAUAGAGUCAUCCCUCGCAGAUACCAUACAGACACGGAGGUGAUGACACAUCUCAGUAGGAUGGAAACAUUGUUGCUGUAGGAGUCUCUGCAGAUGCUUCUGACAUCGUCCUUGUCAUAUCCUUCGUGACUCCGGUGCUGUACCAUGUCCUUGAGAAGAGUCUUUGUUUGGUCUGCAACGUAACAAUUCAUGACACAACAGGGUUAAUGCACACUGAUCUCUGAUGUGAAGUGAAAUGAUCAGCAUUAUGUCUCAUGUAUAUUGGGGUGUGGUAAAAUGGCGGUCAGGUAGCCUAAUGGUUUAAGUGUCCGCUCGUCACGGUGAAGACCCGGGUUCGAUUCACCACAUGGGUACAAUGUGUGAAGCCUGUUUCUGGUGUCCCCGCCAUAAUAUUGCUGGAAUAUUGCUAAAAGCGGCGUACAACCUCACGCACUCACUGCAUCAUAAUGAUUUCCUCCUGCAUCAAGACAUGUCAUGGUAUCAGUGAAAUACUGUUCAGGUGAGGUAACCAAAUCAUCGUGCUGUAUGAACCAUUGUCAACACAUGGAACAGCUUUCUUGUUUUCCUGUAAACAUAACAUAAUUCCAGGACAACUGGUACUGAAGGCUUUGUAACACGAGUCAACCAAACUUUACGAGAUAGUUUGUGGAGUACCACUGUCUGGAGUCAUUGAUACUUAGUGGCAAGAAUGUUGACAAAAUACAGCUUGAAUAAAAUCUGAAGUAAGGGGGUAGCCUAGCUGCCAUACCACUGGCUUGUCACAUUGGAAACCAUGGCUCACUGACACAGUGUGUGAAGUGUAUUCUUGUUGAACCCACAGCUUUGAUAUUAAUGGAAUGUGUAUGAGAGCCAACUCAUUCACAUGCGAAAUAAUUCAGUCUUAUGAUAACCUGCAUGGUUCGUGGACCAAGAAGAAAUCUUUCUCCAGACAACAAUAUCAUACCGGCAGGAAUUUAUUUCAGAGACGGAUUGUUGGUGCACAUUAUGGUUAUAUGGUUAUUGAAAAGUCUUGCAG